GCGGUAAAAGCUCAAAUUUGAAAUCUGGUACUUUCAGUGCCCGAGUUGUAAUUUGUAGAAUUUGUCUUUGAUUAGGUCCUUGUCUAUGUUCCUUGGAACAGGACGUCAUAGAGGGUGAGAAUCCCGUUUGGCGAGGAUACCUUUUCUCUGUAAGACUUUUUCGAAGAGUCGAGUUGUUUGGGAAUGCAGCUCAAAGUGGGUGGUAAAUUCCAUCUAAAGCUAAAUAUUGGCGAGAGACCGAUAGCGAACAAGUACAGUGAUGGAAAGAUGAAAAGAACUUUGAAAAGAGAGUGAAAAAGUACGUGAAAUUGUUGAAAGGGAAGGGCAUUUGAUCAGACAUGGUGUUUUUUGCAUGCACUCGCCUCUCGUGGGCUUGGGCCUCUCAAAAAUUUCACUGGGCCAACAUCAAUUCUGGCAGCAGGAUAAAUCAUUAAGAAUGUAGCUACUUCGGUAGUGUUAUAGCUUUUUGGAAUACUGUUAGCCGGGAUUGAGGACUG
rnacentral:rRNA from 1 species